rnacentral:rRNA from 1 species
GAUGAACGCUGGCGGCGUGCCUAAUACAUGCAAGUCGAGCGAACGGACGAGAAGCUUGCUCUUCUGAUGUUAGCGGCGGACGGGUGAGUAACACGUGGAUAACCUACUUAUAAGACUGGGAUAACUUCGGGAAACCGGAGCUAAUACCGGAUAAUAUUUUGAACCGCAUGGUUCAAAAGUGAAAGACGGUCUUGCUGUCACUUAUAGAUGGAUCCGCGCUGCAUUAGCUAGUUGGUAAGGUAACGGCUUACCAAGGCGACGAUGCAUAGCCGACCUGAGAGGGUGAUCGGCCACACUGGAACUGAGACACGGUCCAGACUCCUACGGGAGGCAGCAGUAGGGAAUCUUCCGCAAUGGGCGAAAGCCUGACGGAGCAACGCCGCGUGAGUGAUGAAGGUCUUCGGAUCGUAAAACUCUGUUAUUAGGGAAGAACAUAUGUGUAAGUAACUGUGCACAUCUUGACGGUACCUAAUCAGAAAGCCACGGCUAACUACGUG